UCUUUCUAGGAAUCUACUGGUUUUUUAGAAUACAUCUAUCUCGGAAACUGACUCGUUGGUAAAGGCUAUUUCUGCAGCUAAGGAAUGGAAGUCCGCUCAGUUAGUAGUUAAAGCUAUCCCUGUACCCAGACUCUCUACAUUACCUCGUUCUGAGAUGCGGCCUGGAAUGCAUCUUCUGGCUCUUGCGGUAUGGAAUGGAUAUUUAAAGCUCAAGAUCAAAGGGUUAUUCAUCGGGGUUCAACAACUCGCCUCCAUACUCCCUCGGCUUUGGCAACAGAAGCCCUAGAAUAAAGGAUAAACUAUUUGGGCCAAUUAAUCGAUGGAUUCGGGCGUGUUGUAUGUCAACGC